rnacentral:tRNA from 1 species
GGGGAUGCGCCGACGGAGGAGAGUCGGGCCAGACUGUAAAUCUGGUGCUUUAUGGCUGAGCAGGUUCGAAUCCUGCCAUCCCCA